GGUAUGGCUGCUGUUGGAUGGAGAAGGUAUGGCUGCUGUUGGAUGGCGAAGGUAUGACUGCUGUUGAAUGGAGAAGGUAUGGCUGCUGUUGGAUGGAGAAGGUAUGGCUGCUGUUGGAUGGAGAAGGUAUGGCUGCUGUUGGAUGGAGAAGGUAUGGCUGCUGUUGGAUGGAGAAGGUAUGGCUGCUGUUAGAUGGAGAAGGUAUGGCUGCUGUUAGAUGGAGAAGGUAUGGCUGCUGUUAGAUGGAGAAGGUAUGGCUGCUGUUAGAUGGAGAAGGUAUGGCUGCUGUUGGAUGGAGAAGGUAUGGCUGCUGUUGGAUGGAGAAGGUAUGGCUGCUGUUGGAUGGAGAAGGUAUGGCUGCUGUUGGAUGGAGAAGGUAUGGCUGCUGUUGGAUGGAGAAGGUAUGGCUGCUGUUGGAUGGAGAAGGUAUGGCUGCUGUUGGAUGGAGAAGGUAUGGCUGCUGUUGGAUGGAGAAGGUAUGGCUGCUGUUAGAUGGAGAAGGUAUGGCUGCUGUUAGAUGGAGAAGGUAUGGCUGCUGUUAGAUGGAGAAGGUAUGGCUGCUGUUAGAUGGAGAAGGUAUGGCUGCUGUUGGAUGGAGAAGGUAUGGCUGCUGUUGGAUGGAGAAGGUAUGGCUGCUGUUGGAUGGAGAAGGUAUGGCUGCUGUUGGAUGGAGAAGGUAUGGCUGCUGUUGGAUGGAGAAGGUAUGGCUGCUGUUGGAUGCUGGAGUUCUAUAUAAGUCAACUCUGGGGGGGCUGAGAUUCCCUGCACCACAUAAGCACGCUAGUGUGCAUGUCAUUUUACCAUUACGGAGUCCCAAAUUGCACCCUAUUUCCCUAU